rnacentral:lncRNA from 1 species
AAAAAAAUAUAUAUAUAUAUAUAUAACAAAAAAAACAAAUUUGGACUUGGGCCUCUCUCAUUUGAGCCCACAGGUCCACAAAAACCAGGUUAUAAAUUCAGAGUUUCAGUGAAACAAAAAGAGUCAUUCCUAUUACCUGGCAGGAAAAGAAAGUGAGAGAAGAGCUGACAGAGUUCAGAAGCAACCUCCAGAGGCAAACCCUCAGAUUGCUCUGCAAACCUCACAGGUGGAACUCAAUUUCAAUCGAUCCUCCCCAAUCAGGU